rnacentral:misc_RNA from 1 species
AAGAAAGGCUCGUGAAACGAUUCCCUCCACGGAACGUCAAUUGCAAAAUGGAGGCAAUACGACAGUACGUCGCGUUCGGAGAUUUUCAACAGAUUUACAUACCAAUUAAGGGAAAAAUUCUACGAGAAGCGAGAGCUAGCACUAUCCGUUUCCUUGUACUUCGAUGGCAGUGGACGCUCUCCCAAGUCACGACUCCCUUGUCCCUACCCCUAGAAAUUAAAUUGCGAGAGGCACGUAAGCCCGCGGUGCACUGCAUCCAAUCGGAUGUCGGAUAGCAGCUGAGCUUCAUAGUGUAACACAUGCGAUUGGUUCAGCCUCCUACGCCUAGAGUGCGAACUGUGAAGAACCCUGUCAAUUGGAAGAAUUUGCAUGAGCAUUGUAGAGUAUUGAGAGGUAUUACCCUUGUAACAGAUUGCAAAAACCGAAUUGAAAUAUAUAGAGCUGGGCACAGAGUCGUUUCGCGACUUUUGUCAUGUAAUUCUAGCUACAAUGAAAUCAGUCAUUUCGUGGAAACCUCCAGAAAGAUAUGGAAAAUCUGUAGAGGAUACGUAUAAGAAGGACACGUCAUCUUGAUAUUAGAGUAGUUACCAAGAUAGUAAUUUUUUAUUGCUCUUCCAAAUGCACGUUCUUGGAAUGAACGUUGUAUGAUUAUUCUGGCCAUUGGAAGCUUCUUCUACGUUUUCUGUUCGGAAAAAAUAGACGCCAUUGUGUGUCUAAACGUAAAUAAUGUUCGAACAAUGUCGAGUGAUACCGAGCGAUAUAGAGCGAUGUCGAGCUGGCGAAAUUAUUGAAUUUUGGCGCUUUUGUCAAUUGAACUUAACGGCGGAAAUUGAACUGUACUAAAGUCGAUUAUAUUAAUAAGUUUCUUGAUUUUUUGUGGUAUUGUGACCUGAAUUACACUUCCAUUGUACCAAAAAUAUUUUGUAAAUAUAAACACAAUACCAGAUAUUAAUUGUUAUUAAUGAUAAAUAUCAAUGAAUUUCUGAUGUCUUUUGCAUUUUACAUUGUACCUUUAUAAAACAUAUGUUAUACUAAUAUUCAUUUCAAAAAACAAUAAAAUACUGAUAUAAAUAUAAAAUGAUAUUUACAUUGAUGACGUAAUCCUUAUAAUUACCGAUCGUACCAAUGUCAUUUAUUCGAUAAUUGAUAACAAUAGCAAUAAAAAGAUUUACGUUUACGAAUUUUUUGUGAAACAAAUUUGUUUAAAAAAUACUUUCUUGACAAAUAAUUGUAGUUAUAGAUUAUAGAUGGUUCUAAUCGGGAAAACAUAUUUAAGAAAUGAUUUCAUUUUGUCAGGAAAACAAAGUUAAGUUUAUUAAAAAAUUGUAUAGAUCAUUUACAUUAAUUUAGUGUUAUGAAUUGCGCUUCUUUAUUAUUAUCAUUAUAAUUAUUAAAAUAACAACCUAAUUAAUAAUGAAAUGCAUUUUAUGGUGAUAGAUUUGUUAAUUUAUAAAAAUGAAGUAUAUACGUGCAAAUCAAUUUUGAUAACCCAAUCAUGUAAAUACAAUUAACAACAUGUAGAUAACAUGACAUUUCUCAUACAUAAUCCAAUA